GAUGAAGAACGCAUUGAAAUGCGAUAAGUAAUGUGAAUUGCAGAAUUCAGUGAAUCAUCGAAUCUUUGAACGCACCUUGCGCCCUUUGGCAUUCCGAAGGGCAUGCCUGUUUGAGUAUCAUGAACACCUCAACUCUUCAUGGUUUUCCAUGAUGAGCUUGGACUUUGGGGGUCUUGCUGGCCUGCGGUCGGCUCCUCUCAAAUGAAUCAGCUUACCAGUGUUUGGUGGGCAUCACAGGUGUGAUAACUAUCUGCGCUUGUGGUUUUCCACCAAGUAACCUUCAGCAGUGGAGGUUCACUGGAGCUCACAGACGUCUCUCCUCAGUGAGGACAGCCCUUUGAAUGUUUGAUCUCAAAUCAGGUAGGACUACCCGCUGAACUUAAGCAUAUCAAUAAGCGGAGGA
rnacentral:misc_RNA from 1 species